rfam:Triticum aestivum genome assembly, contig: Triticum_aestivum_CS42_TGACv1_scaffold_129548_2BL
CAAAUACUCCCUUCGUCUGGAAAUACUUGUCAUCAAAAUGGAUAAAAGGAAAUGUAUCUAGACGUAUUUUAGUUUUAGAUACAUCUCUUUUUAUCCAUUUUGAUGACAACUAUUUUCGGACGGAGGGAGUAGAAA